UACGUAGGUUGCAAGCGUUGUCCGGAUUUACUGGGCGUAAAGAGCGCGCAGGCGGUCGUGCAAGUCGCGUGUGAAAGCCCCCGGCUCAACUGGGGAGGGUCACGCGAUACUGCUCGACUCGAAGGCAGGAGAGGGAAGUGGAAUUCCCGGUGUAGUGGUGAAAUGCGUAGAUAUCGGGAGGAACACCAGUGGCGAAGGCGGCUUCCUGGUCUGCGACUGACGCUGUGGCGCGAAAGCUAGGGGAGCAAACGGG
rnacentral:rRNA from 1 species